rnacentral:rRNA from 1 species
UCAGGCGGCGGGGGAUGGGGUCGCGGCCCAUCAGGUAGACGGCGGGGCAGAGGCCCACCGUGCCGACGACGGGUAGCCGGGUUGAGAGACCGACCGGCCACAUUGGGACUGAGAUACGGCCCAGACUCCUACGGGAGGCAGCAGUGGGGAAUUUUGCGCAAUGGGGGCAACCCUGACGCAGCAACGCCGCGUGCGGGACGAAGGCGUCCGCGUCGUAAACCGCUUUCAGCGGGGAACACCUAACGAGGGUACCCGCAGAAGAAGCCCCGGCUAAAUACGUGCCAGCAGCCGCGGUAAUACGUGUGGGGCGAGCGUUAUCCGGAUUCAUUGGGCGUAAAGCGCGCGUAGGCGGAGCGCUAAGCGGGACCUCUAACCCGAGGGCUCAACCCCCGGCCGGGUCCCGAACUGGCGCUCUCGAGUGCGGUAGGGGAGAGCGGAAUUCCCGGUGUAGCGGUGGAAUGCGCAGAUAUCGGGAAGAACACCGACGGCGAAGGCAGCUCUCUGGGCCGAAACUGACGCUGAGGCGCGAAAGCUGGGGGAGCGAACAGGAUUAGAU